GUGAUCAAUGAUGAUGAUUUGGUGGUGCAUGAGUCACAUACAAUGAAUACUAUGUGUCUGGAACUCUUGAGGUCCAA
ensembl:snoRNA